rnacentral:rRNA from 1 species
UACGGAGGGGGCUAGCGUUGUUCGGAAUUACUGGGCGUAAAGCGCGCGUAGGCGGACCUGCAAGUCGGGGGUGAAAGCCCGAAGGCUCAACCUCGGAACUGCCUUCGAUACUGCGGGUCUCGAGUCCGGGAGAGGGUGAAGUGGAAUUCCUAGUGUAGAAGGUGAAAUUCGUAGAUAUUAGGAAGAACACCAGUGGCGGAAGGCGGCUCACUGGCUCGGUACUGACGCUGAGGCGC